AUUGAACGCUGGCGGCAGGCCUAACACAUGCAAGUCGAACGAGUGGCGGACGGGUGAGUAAUGUCUGGGAAACUGCCUGAUGGAGGGGGAUAACUACUGGAAACGGUAGCUAAUACCGCAUACCAUCAGAUGUGCCCAGAUGGGAUUAUCUAGUUGGGGGGGUAACGGAACACCAAGGCGACGAUCCCUAGCUGGUCUGAGAGGGUGACCAGCCAAACGGGAACUGAGACACGGUCCCGACUCCUACGGAAGGCAACAGUGGGGAAUAUUGCACAAUGGGCGCAAGCCGGAUGCAGCCAUGCCGCGUGUAUGAAGAAGGCCUUCGGGUUGUAAAAUACUUUCAGCGGGGAGGCGUUACCCGCAGAAGAAGCACCGGCUAACUCCGUGCCAGCAGCCGCGGUAAUUC
rnacentral:rRNA from 1 species